UUGACGGGGCCCGCACAAGCGGUGGAGCAUGUAGGUUUAAUUCGAAGCAACGCGAAGAACCUUACCAGGUCUUGACAUCCCCUGACAACCGAGAGAUCGGGCGUUCCCCUUCGGGGGACAGGGUGACAGGUGGUGCAUGGUUGUCGUCAGCUCGUGUCGUGAGAUGUUGGGUUAAGUCCCGCAACGAGCGCAACCCUCGACCUUAGUUGCCAGCAUUCAGUUGGGCACUCUAAGGUGACUGCCGGCUAAAAGUCGGAGGAAGGUGGGGAUGACGUCAAAUCAUCAUGCCCCUUAUGACCUGGGCUACACACGUGCUACAAUGGGCGGUACAAAGGGUCGCGAACCCGCGAGGGGGAGCCAAUCCCAAAAAGCCGCUCUCAGUUCGGAUUGGAGUCUGCAACUCGACUCCAUGAAGUUGGAAUCGCUAGUAAUCGCGGAUCAGCAUGCCGCGGUGAAUACGUUCCCGGGCCUU
rnacentral:rRNA from 1 species